GGAAAAUGCACAUCUUUUCUUCGUAUUAUGGGAGCCGAUGCGGAUGCCCUGCAUUGUACGCUGUUCAAGGACACCUCUGGGCGCACGGGAUUUCGGAAUGUGACUGGUGACGUUACAGGUUAUGAUCUGCGCAGCUAAAUAAUCUACAAUAUCAUAAAUCCAACCUGACAAGUCUGCGCACCUCUAAUCUGAAUGACACCAAUGAAAAUCCAUUCAGACCUUCCUUCUUGUCGUAUGGAACUGAAUAAGUUCUACGCGCUAUAGAAUUAACUGUUUAACACCUCGAUGGCGACGACUACCAUACGUAUCAAUACAAAUGUUCCUCAGUGCUGUCCAGCCUUCCUGCAUUGUUCUUUUGAGGCCCAUUCAAUGACAUCUCCUUCCUUCCUGCUCUCAACUUUCCUCAUUGAUCUUUACCUCGACAAGUGACUAACCCCAAAAAAUGACAAAGUCCCGCACGAGAACAAACGUCCAGACGAUGACACAGAGAUGAUGCAGAUCGUGACAGGGUCCAUCCUUCCACACCGUUUAAGAUUCUCGGUAUUAUCUGCUCACGUGGCAGACACAAUCUGGACCUCCCCUUCCAAAAAAAAAAAACCUUUAACCACUGGAAAGUUACUUGUGACAGUGCCUGUGUGUACAGAACAAAA